CUGCUGGCCGGGCCUCAGGGCUGGGCGGGCACGGGAGGCCGGGGCUGGCCGCAGACAGCGCCCGACCGAGGGGCAGAGCCCGCACCAACCCUUCCCUCCUGCCGCUCUCUGCAGCUGGCACAGGACAGGAACCGAGCGGCUGAGGACCUGCGCCGGGCCCUGCCGUACCUGCAGAGCCCACAGGAGUCCCUGCGAGCGGCGGCCAUCAGGUUCAUGGAGAUGGUCGAGGUACCCAUGAGGGGACAGCAGGAAGAGCUCUAGGCCUUCAGUAAGGCCUUUUAAGCCCUGAGGAGGAAUGACAGCCCUUCCCAGACAAACAUAGUAGUUCAACUGAUAUUCAGUGAAAGAGCUGCAGAAGUAGGCUCAUCUGCUGGCUCAGAAGAAACAGUGUUCAUUUAAGACCUCCAGAUGCCAUGGAAGAUGAGAAUGCCUUGACACCAGAAGAGACCAGCUGGAGCUCCAGGCACAGCUAAUGACUGGCACAGCUGAGCCUGUGGGAAGCUCAUGUGGCUUCAGCCCUCUCCCUGCCUGUAGAUAGUUCCCUCCCUGCAGCCCUCAGACACUGCCUACUCCUUCUUUUUCCCUUCCACUCUCCCUCCCUUUUGACAGCUCCAUCCCCCCAGCCCUCAGACUGUGCCACCCCUUUUUUUGCCUCUCAGCUCAUCCCUUUGCUUUGUCUUCCAGCAAUAAACAGUUUGGCUUUUUCACUUAACCUGCAUCUGUGUGGAGCUGAAGGGUCACAAU